GCUUGGCUGGCUCAGUUGGUAGAGCAUGUGACUCUUGAUGUCAGGGUUGUGAGUUCAAGCCCCAUGUUGGGUG
rnacentral:tRNA from 1 species